UACGAGAGGCCCAAACGUUAUUCGGAAUUACUGGGCUUAAAGAGUUCGUAGGCGGCGCGGUAAGUCGGGUGUGAAAUCUCGGAGCUUAACUCCGAAACUGCAUUCGAUACUGCCGUGCUUGAGGACUGGAGAGGAGACUGGAAUUUACGGUGUAGCGGUGAAAUGCGUAGAUAUCGUAAGGAAGACCAGUGGCGAAGGCGGGUCUCUGGACAGUUCCUGACGCUGAGGCACGAAGGCCAGGGGAGCAAACGGG
rnacentral:rRNA from 1 species